rnacentral:rRNA from 1 species
AGUGAACGCUGGCGAUAGGCCUAACACAUGCAAGUCGAACGGCAGCACAGUAAGAGCUUGCUCUUACGGGUGGCGAGUGGCGGACGGGUGAGGAAUACAUCGGAAUCUACUUUUUCGUGGGGGAUAACGUAGGGAAACUUACGCUAAUACCGCAUACGACCUACGGGUGAAAGCAGGGGAUCUUCGGACCUUGCGCGAUUGAAUGAGCCGAUGUCGGAUUAGCUAGUUGGCGGGGUAAAGGCCCACCAAGGCGACGAUCCGUAGCUGGUCUGAGAGGAUGAUCAGCCCCACUGGAACUGAGACACGGUCCAGACUCCUACGGGAGGCAGCAGUGGGGAAUAUUGGACAAUGGGCGCAAGCCUGAUCCAGCCAUACCGCGUGGGUGAAGAAGGCCUUCGGGUUGUAAAGCCCUUUUGUUGGGAAAGAAAAGCAGCAGGUUAAUACCCCGCUGUUCUGACGGUACCCAAAGAAUAAGCACCGGCUAACUUCGUG